AGUGAACGCUGGCGGCAGGCCUAACACAUGCAAGUCGAACGGCAGCACAGUAAGAGCUUGCUCUUACGGGUGGCGAGUGGCGGACAGGUGAGGAAUACAUCGGAAUCUACUUUUUCGUGGGGGAUAACGUAGGGAAACUUACGCUAAUACCGCAUACGAACUACGGGUGAAAGAAGGGGAUCUUCGGACCUUGCGCGAUUGAAUGAGCCGAUGUCGGAUUAGCUAGUUGGCGGGGUAAAGGCCGACCAAGGCGACGAUCCGUAGCUGGUCUGAGAGGAUGAUCAGCCACACUGGAAGUGAGACACGGUCCAGACUCCUACGGGAGGCAGCAGUGGGGAAUAUUGGACAAUGGGCGCAAGCCUGAUCCAGCCAUACCGCGUGGGUGAAGAAGGCCUUCGGGUUGUAAAGCCCUUUUGUUGGGAAAGAAAAGCAGCAGGUUAAUACCCCGCUGUUCUGACGGUACCCAAAGAAUAAGCACCGGCUAACUUCGUG
rnacentral:rRNA from 1 species